GAGCGAGCGAGCGAGCGCGCGCGCGGCGCGGACACCACGUGACGCAUUACUCCCCGGCCCCGCCAUGUCAGCGCCGGCCCCGCCCCCGGGGAGGGGAAAUGGCGGAGGAUAAAGGCGUCAGUUCCCCCCCUUCCCCUGGCUGUGAGGUUAGCGGGCGGUACGCGGUGUUUCGCGGGUGGCAGAGUACGGGCUAAGCCCUGCCCUGCAUAGAGCGAAGGGCCGGCGCUGGAGUGUGUCUGGUACCCAGCAUGGUCCCUACCCGCAGGGGGGAAGAGACGGCGCUGCUUAACUACGAACCAGAGCGAAACUGAAAGGCUGUUCUCCAAAUCGAGUCUCUUGCACCGGUAAAGAACAUAGUUAAGGACUACAUUUACGCUGACAACGGCAGCUGAUGUUCAUGAGCAAACUGCGUGUACGCUUCGAAGUGUAGGCAUCUAAUAAAGAGUGCAUUUGUCAAGUACAAUAGUAAUGUGUUGGUAUCAAUGUCAAAUCAGCAGUUCGGAGGCUUGCAAGGUGCUGUAUGGUAUGUUCCAAAUGUUAGUGUUUAACUUCCGAUUUCAUUGUUUGACUCUAGUCCAGUACAUCAGCAAGGGAAUAAAUUGGAAAGAGGAAACUCAGUGUUGAAGAAAUCUCAAAGAAGGUGUGCUUGGCUUUAUUUUACAUUCUGUUAUUAGCUGUGCCUGGUGUUUGAGGUGUUAAUCAAAUGUAGAUUGCUUUCAGGAGUCUCUUUUCCCUGUCAUCAAUAUAUGGCUGUCCAGCAAUUAGCAGUCUUUAAAAGCAAAUACUUCGAAAUUCAAAGAAAGCAACAGGAACUCUUGUUCUACCCAGAUUAUGAAAUGCAUAAGGUAGGGUUUGUGUACAGUUAUAUGGCUGAUAUUCAGAGGAAUUUUUAAAAUAGGUUCUAGUAGGAAAUGAAAAAUGCUUUCAGAUGUCAUUAAUUUCUAUAAGUUGCUCUUUUAGCAGAAAAAACCGUAAUUCUACCUUUCAUAGUUUUUUUCAAACAAAGCUGUUAAGCUAGAGAAGAAUGAGGGGAAAAAAGAUAAUAUUGCCCAUCUAGUGUCAGUGUCUUUGUGAUUUUUACUAGUUUCAACAUGGUAAAUUACUUCAUAGGGAGCUUUUACUACUGUUCUUGUUCAUGUCACUGCCCAAAAACUUAAAAAAGGUACCUCUUUCUGGUACCUGAAAAAUACAAACAGCAAAAGUAGAACUGGAGUAUAUGGUGAAAGGUUUAAAAAAUGCGAAUUGUCUCUAUCCAGUUCUUGUAUCAGCUGAAAAGAUGUCUGAAAAGUAAGAAUGAUUUCUUUGAGGGCUCUUGGUUUAGGGAGAGAGAGUAGACUUCCUACAUUGGUAGUUAAUUUUCAGGUUUGAAACAUAGAUGUUAAAUGGUGACAGCUGUUUCUGUAAUGUUGAGUACCUGACAUGUUCCUUUCAAUAUAUAUAUGAUAAUACAAAUGGAAUGCUCUUAACACACCAUCAGUACCAGGACAGGAAAACCUACCAGUGGUUCUGGAAAUUCACAUUAAAUUUGGGAGUUCUUUUGCUUAUUAAAACUUUUUAAGUUUUUUAUAUUGUAUGUUUGCUGUUCAGAGGGUGUGACUACAGGUUCUACAGGUAACUCCUCUGAAAACUGAGUGAGGAAACUUUUUCAGUUUUCCUCAGUUCUAUUUAUGUAUUAGGUAUUGUUUUAUUGUUAAACUUAUUUUUAAACAUACGCUUUUGAGGCAUGUUUGUAAUCAGACUUUGCAAAAUCAGGUUUUCUGUAACCACAGAGGAGGAAAUAAUGUAGGUAUACACAGGUGUGUUUCAAAAUUGUCUAGUACAAAUGCUGGUAGCUGCACUGCCUUGGUGCUCAGUGGGCUAGCUGUGAAAGUGCUUACCUUGCCAUGCGAAGCUCUGUGCCCGUUCCCCUACCAAGCUAAAAUCUGGUGUAGUUGACUGUGCUGUAAUAUGGUCCUAGUUCUGCCUGCAGUAUAGACAAAUCAUUAGGGUCUGUAGAAUGAUCCCUGGCAACUUUUGUUCAUUGAGAAUUAAAUUCUGAUUCCUCAGGGGCUGAAUGUUAGGAUUUGGGGGUUGGAUAGGGUGAAGCAGGUUAAUGACUGCUGCAGCUUUAGGCUGAAGUCUAGGUUUUAGUAGGCUAUAGCGUUGCUGUUCAUAGCAGAUCUGCUUCAUCAAGAUAAUAUGCUCAGUAAUUUUGCAGUAAAAUUUGCCGUUGCUUAUAUUGUAUUAUCACUACCUCUAGAGAGAGUGGAGACAAUCAUAUAAUUUCUUAACAAAAAUGUUCUUUUCAUUAUUAUUUUCUCAAUUUUACAUUUGCAGGUACUUGACCUUACAGCAGGUUUAUUAUUUAAAGUUGCUUUUACUACAACAUUAGGCAUUGUAUAAAUAUAUGGUGUACAAUGCCCAGCAUUAUGUUAUGUAUUUGUAUGAUGUGAAGGAUGGUCCUUGCCUGAAAGACCAUGCAAUCCAGUGUGGCUCGUAGAGCAUUUAAUAGCAUUCUUAUUGUUCAUAUAACACAUAUUUUAAAAUAAUAUCGUUCCAUAUUAUUCCAUAUGUCCUAUGUUUAACAGUUUUUUGACUUGUGUUGGUGCGUGGGUUUAGUUUGUUCAGCUUGCUUCCUUUUGUUUCCAACAGAUGGGCAAUAAAUGGGCGCACCAAUGUAUGGAAAUCGCUGUGAGAACAAAUUAUGGUUACUUGAUGUAAUGAUUCUUUUUAUCUUUCUACCAGCUGAUGAAAUACAUGUGCAAGUCUUAUUCAAGCUUGUUGAAAUCUGAAAUGUUUUUGAAUUCAAUAUAGUUCUUGUCAUUUUGUACAUAAUGAAAUACAGGUUUAACUGAAUUUCAGUUAGCUUAAGCAUUUGAAGAGUUUUACAUAAUGAUAUGUCUGUCAUUUUUUCUUGCAGUAACAUUGUCUUGAUCUUUGAAAAUGAUAAUCCUAAACUUUGCUGUCUCCUAAAUUAUUAGCAUCAUGCAUUAUUAUUGACAAAGAAAAUGAUUGACAAUGAUAAUCCAUAAAUCUGUAUGCCUUGUCCUUUGAUUAUCUAUGUCAGCCUGUCAGAGUGUCUCUGACUCAUUCAAUAAGGAUUAGUUAUCACUUGUGCAUUAUCACUAUCUAAUUUACUGGUGUAACUUGACUUAUGGGCCAACUUUCUUUUUUGACUAGAAUUUCCUGGAAUCCUUUGUUCUACAGAAAGACAAAACUGUUUUUCCUGCAAUGUUCAGUAUAUCGCUGUGGCUUUAUAUUCUUUAUUAAAAUAAUACUCUAUGUUUACCAUGAUUUGUAAGUAUUUAGAAUGUGAUUGGCACUCUGGCUACGUCACACCACGGAGAGGGAUUUACUUAUUGUUCCUAAAUGUUGGCAUCAAAUUCUAGCCACGCUAAAAUAAAAUCCUUGAAAUCAA